CAGAGGUCCCAAGCGUUGUUCGGAUUCACUGGGCGUAAAGGGUGCGUAGGUGGUAAGGCAAGUCAGGUGUGAAAUCUCCGGGCUCAACCCGGAAAUGGCAUUCGAAACUACCUUGCUAGAGGGUUUGAGGGGGGACUGGAAUACUUGGUGUAGCAGUGAAAUGCGUAGAUAUCAAGUGGAACACCAGUGGCGAAGGCGAGUCCCUGGAAAACUCCUGACACUGAGGCACGAAAGCUAGGGGAGCAAACAGGAUUAGAUACCCUGGUAGUCCUAGCCCUAAACGGUGCUUGCUUGCUGUAAGAGGAAUCGACCCCUCUUGUGGCGGAGCUAACGCGUUAAGCAAGCCGCCUGGGAAGUACGGUCGCAAGAUUA
rnacentral:rRNA from 1 species